rnacentral:rRNA from 1 species
UACGGGAAGGGGGCGAGCGUUGUUCGGAUUUACUGGGCGUAAAGGGCGCGCAGGCGGCAGAUCAAGUCAGACGUGAAAGCCCCGGGGCUUAACCUGGGAACUGCGUUUGGGACUGGUUUGCUAGAGAUCGGGAGGAGGAGAGUGGAAUUCCCAGUGUAGAGGUGAAAUUCGUAGAUAUUGGGAAGAACACCGGUGGCGAAGGCGGCUCUCUGGACCGAUACUGACGCUGAGGCGCGAAAGCGUGGGGAGCAAACA